ACGCGCGCUCCGGGGUCGGUGAAAUUCCGAGCCGGCGGUAACAGUCCGCGACCCGUCCCACCGUUGGUGGGCGGUGGACCUGGUGGAAUUCCGGGACCGACGGUGAAAGUCCGGAUGGGAGGCAGCGCGCGG
rfam:Frankia inefficax strain EuI1c chromosome, complete genome.